UCUCCUGGAAACGGGUGGUAAUGCCGGAUGUUCCACAUGAGCGCAUGCGAGUGUGGGAAAGGCUUUUUGCGGCAUGGGAUGGGGUCGCGUCCUAUCAGCUUGUUGGUGGGGUAACGGCCUACCAAGGCGUUGACGGGUAGCCGGCCUGAGAGGGCGACCGGCCACAUUGGGACUGAGAUACGGCCCAGACUCCUACGGGAGGCAGCAGUGGGGAAUAUUGCACAAUGGGCGCAAGCCUGAUGCAGCGACGCCGCGUGCGGGAUGGAGGCCUUCGGGUUGUAAACCGCUUUUGUUCAAGGGCAAGGCACGGUUUCGGCCGUGUUGAGUGGAUUGUUCGAAUAAGCACCGGCUAACUACGUGCCAGCAGCCGCGGUAAUACGUAGGGUGCAAGCGUUAUCCGGAUUUAUUGGGGCGUAAAGGGCUCGUAGGCGGUUCGUCGCGUCCGGUGUGAAAGUCCAUCGCUUAACGGUGGAUCCGCGCCGGGUACGGGCCGGGCUUGAGUGCGGUAGGGGAGACUGGAAAUUCCCGGUGUAACGGUGGAAAUGUGUAGAUAUCCGGGAAGAACCACCA
rnacentral:rRNA from 1 species